UACGUAGGGUGCGAGCGUUAAUCGGAAUUACUGGGCGUAAAGCGUGCGCAGGCGGUGAUGUAAGACAGAUGUGAAAUCCCCGGGCUCAACCUGGGACCUGCAUUUGUGACUGCAUCGCUGGAGUGCGGCAGAGGGGGAUGGAAUUCCGCGUGUAGCAGUGAAAUGCGUAGAUAUGCGGAGGAACACCGAUGGCGAAGGCAAUCCCCUGGGCCUGCACUGACGCUCAUGCACGAAAGCGUGGGGAACAAACAGG
rnacentral:rRNA from 1 species